rnacentral:rRNA from 1 species
GACGAACGCUGGCGGCGUGCUUAACACAUGCAAGUCGAACGGAAAGGCCCUGCUUUUGUGGGGUGCUCGAGUGGCGAACGGGUGAGUAACACGUGAGUAACCUGCCCUUGACUUUGGGAUAACUUCAGGAAACUGGGGCUAAUACCGGAUAGGAGCUCCUGCUGCAUGGUGGGGGUUGGAAAGUUUCGGCGGUUGGGGAUGGACUCGCGGCUUAUCAGCUUGUUGGUGGGGUAGUGGCUUACCAAGGCUUUGACGGGUAGCCGGCCUGGGAGGGUGACCGGCCACAUUGGGACUGAGAUACGGCCCAGACUCCUACGGGAGGCAGCAGUGGGGAAUAUUGCACAAUGGGCGGAAGCCUGAUGCAGCAACGCCGCGUGCGGGAUGACGGCCUUCGGGUUGUAAACCGCUUUCGCCUGUGACGAAGCGUGAGUGACGAUAAUGGGUAAAGAAGCACCGGCUAACUACGUG